rnacentral:rRNA from 1 species
GUAGGUGGCAAGCGUUGUCCGGAAUUAUUGGGCGUAAAGCGCGCGCAGGCGGUUCUUUAAGUCUGAUGUGAAAGCCCACGGGCUCAACCGUGGAGGGUCAUUGGAAACUGGAGAACUUGAGUACAGAAGAGGAAAGCGGAAUUCCACGUGUAGCGGUGAAAUGCGUAGAGAUGUGGAGGAACACCAGUGGCGAAGGCGGCUUUCUGGUCUGUAACUGACGCUGAGGCGCGAAAGCGUGGGGAGCAAACAGGAUUAGAUACCCUGGUUGUCCACGCCGUAAACGAUGAGUGCUAAGUGUUAGGGGGUUUCCGCCCCUUAGUGCUGCAGCUAACGCAUUAAGCACUCCGCCUGGGGAGUACGGCCGCAAGGCUG